rnacentral:misc_RNA from 1 species
GAUGAAGAACGCAGCGAAAUGCGAUAAGUAAUGUGAAUUGCAGAACUCAGUGAAUCAUCGAAUCUUUGAACGCACAUUGCGCCCGCCAGCAUUCUGGCGGGCAUGCCUGUUCGAGCGUCAUUUCAACCCUCAAGCUCUGCUUGGUGUUGGGGCCCUACGGUUGACGUAGGCCCUUAAAGGUAGUGGCGGACCCUCUCGGAGCCUCCUUUGCGUAGUAACUAACGUCUCGCAUUGGGAUUCGGAGGGACUCUUGCCGUAAAACCCCCAAAUUUUCUAAUGGUUGACCUCGGAUCAGGUAGGGAUACCCGCUGAACUUAAGCAUAUCAAUAAGCGGAGGA